UACGUAGGAGGCGAGCGUUGUCCGGAGUUACUGGGCGUAAAGGGUGCGCAGGCGGCGGUUCGCGUGGCGAGAUGAAAUCUCCUGGCUUACCUGGGAGGAUGGUCGCCAGACGGGAUCGCUUGAGGGUCGGAGAGGGGCGUGGAAUUCCUGGUGUAGCGGUGAAAUGCGCAGAUAUCAGGAGGAGCACCGGUGGCGAAGGCGGGUCUCUGGGCCGUAACUGACGCUGAGGCGCGAAAGCGUGGGGAGCAAACAGG
rnacentral:rRNA from 1 species